rnacentral:rRNA from 1 species
AACGAACGCUGGCGGCAUGCCUAACACAUGCAAGUCGAACGAGACCUUCGGGUCUAGUGGCGCACGGGUGCGUAACGCGUGGGAAUCUGCCCUUGGGUUCGGAAUAACAGCGAGAAAUUGCUGCUAAUACCGGAUGAUGACGUAAGUCCAAAGAUUUAUCGCCCAAGGAUGAGCCCGCGUAGGAUUAGCUAGUUGGUGAGGUAAAGGCUCACCAAGGCGACGAUCCUUAGCUGGUCUGAGAGGAUGAUCAGCCACACUGGGACUGAGACACGGCCCAGACUCCUACGGGAGGCAGCAGUGGGGAAUAUUGGACAAUGGGCGAAAGCCUGAUCCAGCAAUGCCGCGUGAGUGAUGAAGGCCUUAGGGUUGUAAAGCUCUUUUACCCGGGAUGAUAAUGACAGUACCGGGAGAAUAAGACUCCGGCUAACUCCGUG